rnacentral:rRNA from 1 species
GAUGAACGCUGGCGGCGUGCUUAACACAUGCAAGUCGAACGGGAUCCAAGGGGUGCUUGCACUUUUUGGUGAGAGUGGCGAACGGGUGAGUAACACGUGAGUAACCUGUCCUUUUCUUUGGGGUAAGCAUUCGAAAGGGUGUUUAAUACCUUAUGUUCUGUCUGCCUCGCAUGGGGUGGGUGGGAAAGGCUUUGGCCGGAUUUGGGUGGGCUCGCGGUCUAUCAGCUUGUUGGUGGGGUGAUGGCUUACCAAGGCGUUGACGGGUAGCCGGCCUGAGAGGGUGGUCGGUCACAUUGGGACUGAGAUACGGCACAGACUGCUGCGGGAGGCAGCAGUGGGGGAUAUUGCACAAUGGGCGAAAGCCUGAUGCAGCGACGCCGCGUGGGGGAUGAAGGCCUUCGGGUUGUAAACUUCUUUUGCUCUGAACAAGGCAUGCCAGUGGGUGUGUUGAGUGUAGGGGUGGAUUAGCGCCGGCUAACUACGUG